GGCGGGGUGGCAGAGCGUAAUGCCGUGGUCUGCAAAGCCACGUUCGGUGGUUCAAAUCCACCCCCCGCCU
rnacentral:tRNA from 1 species